rnacentral:rRNA from 1 species
UUUUUGCAUAUCAAUAAGCNGAGGAAAAGAAACCAACAGGGAUUGCCUCAGUAACGGCGAGUGAAGCGGCAAAAGCUCAAAUUUGAAAUCCCCCCGGGGAGUUGUAAUUUGAAGAUUGCGUCUUGGAGGCGACCGUGUCUAUGUUCCUUGGAACAGGACGUCACAGAGGGUGAGAAUCCCGUGCGGCACGGCCCCCGGCUCCUUAUAAGGCGCUCUCGACGAGUCGAGUUGUUUGGGAAUGCAGCUCAAAGUGGGUGGUAAAUUCCAUCUAAAGCUAAAUACAGGCGAGAGACCGAUAGCGAACAAGUACAGUGAUGGAAAGAUGAAAAGCACUUUGAAAAGAGAGUGAAACAGCACGUGAAAUUGUUGAAAGGGAAGGGCAUGCCGUCAGAUUGUCAGUGUGGGUAAGAAGCGGGGUACAAAGACUGUGGAACGUGGCCCUCGGGUGUUAUAGCCGCAGUUCAUGCCCCGUCUCUUUCCGAGGCCUGCUUUGAGGACACCGACGUAAUGACGGUACGCCGCCCGUCUUGAAACACGGACCAAAAAGGCUUUAUU